AUACGAAGGGUGCAAGCGUUAAUCGGAAUUACUGGGCGUAAAGCGCGUGUAGGCGGCUUGGUAAGUCGGAUGUGAAAGCCCGGGGCUCAACCCAGGAAUUGCAUUCGAAACUGUCUAGCUAGAGUAUGGUAGAGGGAAGCGCAAUUCCGGGUGUAGCGGUGAAAUGCGUAGAUAUCCGGAGGAACACCAGUGGCGAAGGCGGCUUCCUGGACCAAUACUGACGCUGAGGUGCGAAAGCGUGGGGAGCAAACAGGAUUAGAUACCCCAGUAGUCC
rnacentral:rRNA from 1 species